UUUUUUUUUUUUUGUUGAUACGAUAAAUUAUUCUACACUAGGGAGAGGACUUGAAAAGGUCCAAGAAUAAUUUGGAGAGAAUUGAACCAUUAUCAGACGAGUGCACUACACAUUCGCUAGCAUUUUUUAAGCAGAACCACUUUAACAUGACAAAUUGAUGGGAUGCAAGGUUUGAUACAUUGGUGGUGGCUUGCCUCCCACGCCACCGAGCCUUAAUGCAUUAGUGGUGGCAAAGGCUGGUGGUUAUCCUCUCUACUGCCAAUAUGUUGAAUUCUGCUAUGUAGGUGAUGCCUGGAGACCAAGAGGCCAGUAGUUUGCUUUGCGCAGGUCCUUCAAAAUCUUCUAGAGUUUUAAGGGCCUGUUUGGCACCCCAGUUUUUUACCAAGUUUUUUACCUACUAGUUUUUUAACAACUUUUGCUACAGGAACCCCAAAAAACUUUCCAAAGUUUUUUAUCUACACAUUUCAAAAAUCUAUACACAAAAAAUUUCCCAAAAACUUUCCUUCCUCCCUCACCCAACCCACCACACCAGCCACCACCUCUACCACCUCUCCCGACGCCAGUAACCUCAAAAAAAAUUUUUGAGUCCCUCACCCUCACCCCCUCUCCUUCCCUCCCCUCUUCCCCUCUCCCUCCCCCGCCACCCUCUCCCUCCUGCUAGGUACGAUAGGGGAGAGGGAGGGGGCUGCGAUCUGGUCGCGGUCUGGUCCCAGAUCGCAAAGCAGAGAGGGAGAGGGUGGCGGAGGAGGGAGAGGGGAAGAGGGAAGGUAGGGAGGGAGAGGGGAAGAGGGAAGGGAGGGAGGGAGAGACAAAGCAAAAAAAAAAUAAUAAUGCACAGCUGCCGGCCUUCCUCGGGCGUCGGAGUGCGAGGGAGAGGGAAGAGGGGAGGAAAGGGGGAGAGUGGGCAGAGAGGGUGGCGGGCCUAGGGGGUAGCGGGCAGAGAGGAGAAGAAAUGAAUGGUGGAAAAGUUUAGGGGUGGCGGGGGAGGGAGAGGGACGGGGGAGAGGAGAAAAGCAAAAAGAAAAAAAAAGAAGAACAGAGGUGGGAGGCAGAGGAGAGGUAAUGGGGAAGGGGGAGGGGAAAGGAAGAAGAAGAAGAAGAGGAGAGGAAAGAAAAGAAAAAGGAAAGAAAGAAAAAGAAAAAGAAAGAGAAAGAGAAAAAAAGUUUUUCACCUUACAAAAACUUCUACAAAAUUUUUUCAAAAACUUCUACAGUGCACUACAGUAAAGUUUUAGACAAACUCCCAAAAAAUUCAGGUUCCAAAGAGGCCCAAAUUGUGAUGACUCGUAAAAUUUCUUAUAUUUUUAUUAAAAUUCCCUUUAGUUUGAAAUUUUUUACUUUACAAAACUUUUAAUACACAUUCACUUCCCCAAUAGCUACAAAUAAUCAUAAAAACAAGGGUUUUCCUUUUUACUUUCAUCGUUACGAUAAAUUAGGGUUUUUACGCCUUUUCGUCGUGUGAUUAUUCGGUACGGAGUGUGGAUAAAAUUUGGUGAUUAAGAAUGAGUUUUAGAUGAUAUUAAGUGUGGGAUUAGAAGUAAUAAUAAUGAGGUAGUAAAUUAUAAGUUAAAACCCUAGUAUACGCGAUUUAAGGAAAAAACAAUUCGGACCGACGGGUGUCGCGCGCUACUGAUUGAACACACCACUUGAACACUACUCUAUUACCUCAAUCUCCUUACUUUUAUUUCAGCAAAAAUCAUCCCAAAAUACCCUUCAAGGCAGCUGAAAUUCUUGACUCCAAGAGAGAGAGAAAAGAAAAAAAAUUGUGAGAACCUAAGUGUGACAAGUGUUGGCCAUUUAAGGCCCUUUGACCAAGCCAACUUUCUUACCUUCUUAUCUUCAUUUUAGCUCAUUUCUUCACCAUUUUUUUUCUUGUUUGGCCAAGAGCAAGGAGAGGGAGAAAGAGUGAAGAGAAUUUCUAUUUCCAACCUCAAAUCAAGAGUUGAGAGUGAAACCAAGAAAAACUAAAUUGAUUAACUUGUAGGUUGAGAGUUGGGGAAGCUUAAGGACCCAAAAAUUUCAAGGAGAAGUGGAGGAUAACUCUAGCAAACUUUGUUUUUGAGGUAAUAUGGCUGACCACCCCUUUCUUUUUCCUUAAUCAUGUUGGAGUUGCUUAGUAGCUUGUAUUUGUGGUUGUAAUGCUUAUAUCAAGUGAUUUUGGAUGGUUGGGGGUGAUGAAUUUGAGUUUGGGUUUGAAUGAUUCACUUAUCAUACUUGUUGUAUGGGUGGUAUAUGAUGUAUAUAAGUUGGUAUAAGAGGUGGUAGUGAUAGUUUCAAGCUAAAAAUGAGAUUUAUACCUUGAUUGUAGCAAAUUUCCAGAAUUGAAGUUAAAGUAUACCCUGUUCUGCCCUGUUCUAGUUCACUAUGUUAGAGGCCGAAUUAGGCUUAACCUAAAACAUAAAAGUUGUAUAGAAUGAUAUUUUAUAGCUGCCUGCAAAAUUUCAGCUCAAUCAGAGCAAUGUAGCCUAUGAAAAGACCGAAAUACCCUGACUGCCCUAGGUGAAUCCAGUGAUCAGUUUUGGAUAUUUUACCAAUCUGGUCGUGUCUUUUCACCAUAAUAUGUACUAAACUAGUAUUUAUCCAAAACAUGAAAUUUGUAGUACUAUGUUUUAACUUUCCAACGCCCCUGAGAACGCCUUAAUCGGACUUCGGUAGCUUGAGUUAUGGUCAUUUGAAUGUAGUGCAGUUAACUAGCCUAUUGGUAGGAAUCCGGUUUGUAAAUUGGGAAUCUGACUUGGAUACACUAGAAACUGGACUAAGUGGUCUUCAUCAAAGUUGUAAGCCUUUGUCUUAGAUUCGAAAUGGUAUAAAUUACACCCCAAUCUGAUAAGGGUAUCUUCGGUUGUGUCCGUUCCGCUAAGCGACAUCAAAUCUGUCUUUUGUUUUUUGACUUAAAUUUCAUUUCCGGACAUUUUCCUAACUUGAUUUUGUACUUGUAUGACUUUGAACCUAUUGAAUGGCUAUUGAAAUGAAAUUAUUUUGUGAGUGACUUUGGGACUGAUUGAGGAAAAGAAUGAAGCCAUAAAUGGCUGAAAAAUAGGUAAAUACAAAGGACGUGCUGCCCAAAUUUACGCUCGAAGACUAGGUAGAUAUACUUGUGACUUGAGUAAGGUUUGAGAGCGAAUACCACGUGAACCAUCUAGGAUAUUUGCGUCUUCUUUUAUCGAGGUAUAUAAGUUAGAACUUGGCCGAACUUGUACCCUUGAGAAAAUGGAAAUAACGACUACUUGAAAUAUGUUUUCCUCGUUCUUUUGACUCCAAUGGGAGUUCUAAAAUUUUAACCGCUUCCUUAUCGAAACUAAACAAGCGAGUAUGAAUUUUCUGGGAUUUGAUAAGUAUCCGGAAUACUACAUAACGAGUUACAUUUACUUAAUUUUCUUGAAGCGAAACUCCUAUGUUUCAAAUUCUAGAAAGGUUUACAUUCGUAAAUGAUAUUUUAUCGCAGAUUUGGACUCCAACCAAGGAGUUGGACCGGAACGUGAUUUUUGAGAGGCACAAGACUUUUGGUGAGUGCUUCCAAAUAUCUGAUUGAACUUGAAACUUGGUUUCACUACUUGACUAAUGUGAUCGAAUGAUAUGUGAUUGGUAUGGUCGGACAAGAGUGUACUUUAUCGCACUUGCCAUAAUGUGAUAUGUACUCGUUUAUUAUUGCAAUUGACUUGAUAUACUUGUGCUUGACUUGUAAGUACUGAGCGGCAGUAUGUACCACACUCGAUCCGAGUGGGAGGUACCUCUCAUUUCCGUCUCCGUACUUUUAUCUUGAUUCAGUCGAUUGGAGAGGUUAUCUCAUCGAAUUCUUGGGGACCUAAACCCCAUUGGCUAGUUAAUCGAGUCAAGUCGGCAAGGGAUUGGUCGAUUAGAUAACAAACCAUGGGUAGUUAGUGAUGUCGAGUGGAGUGUUAUCUUCUCGACUAAUCGGUAUACUCGAGUAUUACCACCAGUGCUUAGUUGGUAUUUGGGCCCGGCAAGGGGGUUGAAUGGUGGACGGAUUGGAGUUAAACGAAAUACUACUGGAUUGGUUACUUUACGUGAAAGUUGACAGAGUGUCAACUGAUACUUGAUCAAGCUCUGGUGAAGCAACGAGAAUUUGGCUCUUGAGAGCCAUCUGUAUCCUUAUAUUUUGAUUGUUAUUCGUAGUGUUAUUGUUUCUUUUAGAAAAAGAAUUUUACACUCGUUCAUUUUGAGAUUGCUACUUGAAGUGUUAUCGCUCACUUUUAUGAACUCUUCAUAUUCGUUACUUUGCUACAUUGGAAACUUGUACGUAUAAAUAAUGGUCAAUUUGCUAUUUGGAACCUCACUGGAUUUUUAGUUCAUUCCACGCUAUUUGUUUUCCUUACAGGGGUACGAAUGAGGCGUGAGACGUGUAUAGACUAGCGUAGUCUAGUUGUUUUGACUUUUGUAAUUGUACUCACACUAGUCGCUCGAUUAGGGUUGAAUGUACUGAGAAUUUAAAUCUUUUGAAGUAUUUGGGACUGUAUGGAUGGUUGAGAUAGAAAUGAAUGUAUACGUGUGUUCCAAACUUGGGAACUAUUAUUUCGUUUAUUUUUUAGAGUGCAUCUUAGUUUAUUUGAUGUGAGUGAGUGAGUCCUGACGAGAGUUGGAUAAGCGGUCCGCUAAACCCUAGGGUACGCUCAGGGGAAGGUGGGGCCGUCACACAAAUCCAUUAAAGUAGGAAGAAAGAACCAGAAAAAAAAAACACCCAAAAAAAAGGAAAAAACAGAGAAAAGAAAAGCCCAAAAAGGGAGUCCGAGGAGUAGGAGCAAGGAGCUGCGCUGCUGGUGCUAUUGACGGAGUCCACGAUCACAGCCACCACUACCGUGGGUCAUAACUGGAAAAGCACUAUGAAACUUCGUUGCUCCAUAUGUUGUUUGAAUUUUUCUCUCACCUGUUUGAUAUUAUGUUCAAGAAUUUGGCUUCUUCGCUGUAUCGAUGAAUCUCCCUUCCCUUUAAAUUUCCCUUUUGCUUGUUGUCUAUGAUAUGAUUUGUCUAUGGUGGAAUGGGAUUUAGGUGGACUGACAUUCGUUAUUUGUGUAAGCGGCACCUCAAUUAGACCUAGAUUUGUAAAGUUUUGUUGCGCCAAUAAUGGCCCCAAAUGAGAAAUUGAGUUAUAUGGACAAAUUGAUGAAUCUGAGCAUGUGGGGGAGCAAUUCCGAUCAAUUGAAAGUUGAUCGGAGAUCGUGAACGAUGCCGGAAAACCAAGAGGGCCGAGAGAGAACGUUUGAUUUUUUUAAAAAUUAUUUUUAUUUUUAUGUUUUGCUGCAUUUUCUGAGCGGAUCUAGCUAUGUGAUAGUGUGAGAUGUUCGUGUGCAAGAGAGAGAGGAGCCACAGAGUUGUUGUCAUCGGAAGCCGGCGAACUUCAUGAGACGAGAGGAAACAGAGCAGCAACAGUUCUUCUGAAUUGAGGAAGAAGAUGAUGUAUUUCUGGAGAUUUACAAUUUCAGUCCCUAAAUUUCCCUUUCUUUGUGACUUAGCCCCAAUUUUUAGGACUUUAUAAUUUGUCCCCUGGAGCUUGCUUUAGGUAGUUUGGAUUAAGUUCCUAGAAGGGAAAAUCGUUCAAAACGUCCCUCACUUUUAAAAGUGUAAUUUUACGUCCCUUACAAAUUCAUAUUGAUCAAAUUUGGUCCCUACCUAGGUUUUUGACUAGUUUUUGGUCAGAAUUCACCACGUGACUUGCAUGUAAUCAUUUUUUAUAGGCAAAAUUGUCAAAUCAAAUGUUUACAUAAUCUGAUUCAUAGUUCCUAACAUUUUACAAAAUGAAUUUUUUCGUCCCUAACAUUUUACAAAAUGAAUUGUUUCGUUCCUCACAUUUCAAAAAAUGAAUUUUCCAUCCCUCAUAUUUUUCAAAAUGAAUUUUUUCAUCUCUGAUUGAUCAUGUGUAUGAAUAGUUUUUUUCUAUAAACCCACGUAUAUGUCUAUUUGAUUUUAUCUGAACAGUAUGAAUAACAUGUAAUUUAUUUCUAUUGGAUUUCAUCUAAACAUGCUAAUCGUAGUUAUACACAUGCUAUUCAAUAAAUAUAUAUAGGGGUUUAAAACUAAUAAUUUUGUUUGAACUCACGUAUAUAUUUAUAUAAUUUCACCAUUUGAACCUAUUCAAUAUUUGUGACAUUUCUCUUUUUGGUAAUAAUUUAUUUAUUGAAUUGUAUAAUAAGGUCAUCUAAUUAAUGAGUCAUAAGUCGAAUUCUAUAAUUGUGCUAAUAAAUUUCAGUUUAAAUAUGAAAUUUCUACUCGACACUUUUAAGACCAAUAAUUAAAUUACUUACCUUGUAAUUGUCUUAAAAUUUGAAAAUGCCAAUCACUUAUUUCUUUUUGUCAUACUUUUCUUUUGUUUAUUUUUUUUGUCCAAAUUUAAUUCGAUAUAACACUCGAUAAUAUUUAGGAUUAAAUGUCUUCCUUAUUUUCAAAUUUCGAGUAAAAGAAAAUGAAUAUAAGUGAAAAACUAAUAAUUUUUUUAAACCCAUGUAUAUAUCUAUUUGAUUUCAUUUGAGCAGUACGAAUAGUAUGUAAUAUAUCUCUAUUUGAUUUCACAUGUUAUUCGUACUGUUCAAGUGAAAUCAAAUAGAUAUAUACAUGAAUUUAAAAUAAAUUAUUCACACACAUGAUCAAUAAAAAAUGAAAAAAUUCAUUUUGAAAAAUGUGAAGGAUGAAAAAAUUCAUUUUGUGAAAUGUAAGGGACGAAAAAAUUUAUUUUAUGAAAUGUGAGGGAUUAUGAAUCGAAUUAUAUAAAAUUUGAUUUGAUAAUUUUGCCCUUAAAAUAUGAUCACGUGCAAGGCACGUGGUGAAUUCCGACAAAAAACUAGUCAAAAACCUAAGUAGGGACCAAAUUUGACCAAUGUGAAUUUGUAAGGGAUAUAAAAUUAUAUUUUUAAAAGUAAGGGAAGAAAAAAGUUAUUUUGUAAAAUGUGAGGGACGUUUUGAACGAUUUUCCCUUCCUAGAAUUGAACUAGUUAACUAUUAGUUUAAAUAGCAUUUCAAUUGGUCAAGUUGUAGUUAAUUUUAUUUUCUCUUUUUAGGAAUAAUGUAACCCUUAACCGGCAUAGGUGCUCGUAAUUUUUGUAUUCUUUUUCUUUUCUUUUCACUUAAUUACUUUUUAUUUUGUUAUUAUUGUGGAAUGAGAUCAUGUGGGCCGCAGGUGCGUUGUCGCUUGGCUUUUCCAAUUCCAAUGGAAGCUUUGGAAUUAAUCAUUCUGUUUUACUUCACUCUUAAGGUGCUGUACAUGUUUUUAUGUGUUUAGAUAUUAGUUAAUUACAUGUUAUGUGCUUAGCUUAAACUUAGUCAUUUUGGCCUUAAAAUUAAGAGAAUAAGAUUAAACUCGCAACCCAUUUUGCCGAACCGUCAAAAAAGGGGACCAGAGCAGUGAAUUUGGCCAGAAUUCCUAGAGCUUUGUAUAGUUAUAGAAGAAGAAAAUUAAAAACAAAAGAAGCAUUUUUCAGAAAAAACCCAAAUUCCUCCGUGAAACUAAUGCCACAAUUCUCAAGAAUUAUAGCAAUAAAAUAACAAAAAAAAGAUCGAUAGAAUCCUAGACUGGAGAAACCAAUUUUAUCAGAUUUUUUUGGGAAAAAAAUAAAAGAUAUUUAAGAUAAAACCCUAAAUAAGAAUCUCACCAAGGCACUUUGCCAGAGUUGGAGAUGGUUGCCGUCAGAAAUAAUUAUAUUGGUGGUGAUUUUUCAAUCUCUCCAAUCUCCAUCGCUCACUUUCUGUAUCUUUAGCCGCAAAUUCUUUCUUUGUUUUUGUUAGAAUGUGGGAGUAGCGAGCUCUAUUGUAAAGAGCCAUGCAUUUCAAUGAAGGAAAAUAACUUCAGUAACUCAAAGGAGGAAGUUAUUUUCCACCAAGUGAAGUUAUUUUCUUCAGUAACUCAAAAGAGCCGUGCGUUUCAAUGAAGAAAAAUAACUUCAGUAACUCAAAAGAGGAAAUUAUUUUCCACCAAGUGAAGUAAAAUAGUUUCUCCACAGAAAUUUUUUUUUCCAAGUUAAAUGAUUACCAAACACAGGAAAAUUUGGAAAACAUUUUGAGGAAAACAUUUUAUGUCCAAACAAACACACCCUGAGUGAUAAGUGAAUAGUUUAUCAUUUAUUUUUGGAAGUAAAUUUUGCCUAAAAAAUUCAAUGUCAUUUAAUUAAUUUAAAUGUUUAAUUUUUGGUUAUGAAACACGUGUGAACAUAUUAAAAUCUGAAACCAUUAAUUUUAAGUGAUAAAUUGGAUUAUUAAACAAGGCCUUAGUCAUAGUGUAGUAUCAAUUCAACGAUUCGUAAGUUUCACUUAUAAGAAUUUAUAAAGACAUGAUUUUUUUUGUGUGUUGGGGGAGGGGGAGGGGGGAGGGGGGAGGGGGGAUGUUAAAGAGGAGACUCCAGAUUUCGCAAAACAGUCUCAAGAUAUGUUCACGUGGGUAAAAAAGAUAACUCAAUUAAAUGGUUGAAAGACAAACUAAACUAUUUGAUACUCGAAUCAAAUUUGGUUUGGUAAGAGUUCAUUUUAACUUGAUUCGCUAAUUAAUCAAACCUACUAAAUAGCAUUUCAUGUUCGAUGAACUUUCAAAUUCGAUUCGAGCUUACUUUGAUUAACUUAAAAUUGGAUUUUUUAGGUAAAAAUUCAAACUAUUCAAACUUGACUCAAUAAAAGCUUGUUUAAAUUCGACUUAAAAAAUAAACAAACCAAAAUUGAACACCAAGGUGUUUGAUUUCAUUAAACUCAUUUACAGCCAUAUGGAUUGAACUUUUAAUAGGUGCAGCAUCAGUCCAAGCCACUCAAGACACUUGUUAACUGAGGUAUGGGUGCAACAUAAAAUUUCUGCUUUACCCUCUAAAAUUACUUUCUUUUAGUGUAUUCUAUUUCUACCCUCUCCACCCCCACACACCCCCCCUUCCCCCCAUCCCCCAAAUACAAAUUUAAAAUUGUAGUUUAUCUUUUGUAUUUCUCAUAUUCAAAACUCAACGCGGUAAUGGAUUCUGAUCUUGAAUUCAGCAAUAUGUAUCGAUCAUUCCAAUCAAUACCCCGGUCGAUUCAUCACCAUUUACGACAACAAAAAAGAUAUUGAGAAUCUUACUUCAAAACCUAUGACAAAAAUCAAAAUAUGCCAUUUCAAACUAUGGUAUCUAUAUUGGUAGCUAGGAAGAGAAUUACAACCAUCGCAACAGACAAUAGCCAAGGGAGGGAGUGUAAGGUAUAUCGGUGUGGAGAAGAUGUCCAGAUGAGAAUCACAACCAAACAAUAACCUUACCACUUUGGUGACAAACCAUUUGAUGAAUUAACUACAUAAUUGAACACUUCAAUCAAGCGAAUCAUAAAGGUCCUUCCUACUGUCAAUAUCUUAAAUUCUGCUAUUAUAUUUGAUCCCCGGAGACCAGAAGGCCAUUAAUUUGCUUGGCUCAGGCUUCCAACGUGUACAACGGUAUGGAAGAAUUUAGGCAUCCCUUUAAACCUUAGAUCCUUAAACAUUCGACUCUCAGGAUUGUAAGAAACUAGGGCUCCCCAUCUGUACUGCAGCAAAAUUUCGCCAUUUUUCAGAAGGCAAAGAACCCGGGCAAAUCGUUCAUCAAGUACAUUCUUCCAAAUCCUGUAUUUUUGCUGCAUUUCUGGUGACUGAAAUGUCGUCACAUAAUAAACCCCAAUGCUGAAAACUUUCUCCCAGGACUCUUUCACCCCGUAUUGUUUCAUAAUCCAAAUGUCUUGAGCCCCGUAAUUAGUAUUUGAAGGAUCAACAACAGCCAGAAAACCUCCGAGAACACUGAGAGAAUACCGGUGUCGGAUUAAGUAAAGAUGAUUUUCUGGCAGUGGGACUUCUCUAAAAAGCUCAUCAGAUAAAUCAAAUGACACCAGAAUCCGUUCCCGACGAGCAUGAUUCUUUCCCCAUAUACUCACCCAGUGAAGCCUUCCGUUUACAAAAACUCCCCCUGAUGACUGAUCUAGCUUGUAAGGUAUGUCUCCAAUAAUAACUCUCCAUUUUUCACUGCUCUGAUAGAAUACUUGAACCUCUGAUCUUGGAAAAUUUUGAGCCCUGAAUCUCAGCGAUCUGAGUGGAGAUAAUUCAUAUAAAUUCCAGUAGUAGACUAUCCUUACUACGCGAUAUUCAUUGGUAUGAGGAUGAACUCCGAAUCCUAUUAUCACUUCUUGGUCCUGGAAUUCAGUGGAUUUUGGUAACACUUUAUAGUCUCGGGUAAAGGGAUUAUAAACGUAUGGUCCAUCAUUGACCAAAGUACUCGACAAGCAUAGCAGGCCAUUACACGAGCUAACAAUUCGAAAUUCAGGCAAAGUACUAGAAAAGGGAGUAUGAAUUCUUCUGAGUACAUUUUUUUCAUGAUCUUGAUGAGAAAAUUCAACAAAAUAAAGCUGAUUGUUCACUGGAAAAUCACAAUGAAAGAUGAGGGCUAUGUCGUUGUUUUUUAAUGCUCUGGUGAGAUGCAAAUUAGCAAGAUCUUGAUCAAGUGACAACUUGUGGCAACUUCGACAAACAUACCUGAAUUGGAUGACGGAUUUUACGUGUAGUCUGGAAAUUAUGUCGAGGGCGAUUUCUUGAGGUAGACUAUAAAGAUUAUUUCCAGGCUGAUGAUGUUCUUUUGGAGUUGAUUUUCUUCUCUUGGAUUCUCUCUCAAUUUCCAUGUCGUCUUCCAUGAUGGUAGUAGAAAAUGUGAACGUUUCAAGGUUUGAGGUGGCGGCUAGACUGCUUUAGGUCACUUGGACUUAAUUAUAAGGGUUAAUUGCACUUACUUCCCUCGAGCUUUGUCCAUAUUACCAAACAAACCUUGUAGUUUGUCCAAAUAACAUUUACCCCCUUGUCAUUGACGGUUCAUAAACUCUGUUAACUGAUGUCACAAGAUGAUAAAAUUGCCCUUCAAAACAAAAACAAGAUUAUUGUUAUAAAAGAACUUAAUAUUUAGGCAUAAAAAAAAUGUCCAAAGGAGAAAUGAAGUAUCUUAGUAAGCAAAGCUAAAGAAAAAGAAAGAUAGUAACAUUAAGAGUAAAAAAUUUGCUGCAAAAAAAAUUAAGAAAAUGAAGAAAAAUACAUGUUGAGAGAUAUCAAACAGACAAAGAGUAACUAUGAAAAAAAAAGAAAGUAAAAUAUAAAUAAAUUAGCGACUGCCUAUUUAAUAAAUAAAAAAAAUAUAAUUGAGAGGGAUACUGAAGCAUCGAUCUUCUUUUGCCUUUAUCAACUCUCUCCACUAGCUCCCAACACAAUUUGCCUCCAUCUCUUUACCUCAACAGACACCCCCUUCUUCAUCUUCUCUGCUACUACACAUGCACACUAAGAGAUUAGCAGUUUGACACUCUCAAAUACACCUUUUGAAAGAAAAAGAUUGUAUUCCACUAGUAUCUAGCGAGAGACUGUAAGGAUUGGAAAGGCCAAAAUAGGAGAAAGUAAUUAUAAUUUAUGGACUCUAUCUUGGUGUUGGCAUAACAAGGUCUAGAUCAGUUUGAGACCUUAUGACGAUAAGUUUAUGCUUUCAGUUAUUGAUUUGAGUUUGUUGGUGGUUAAAUGUAAGGCUAUAAGUUAUGCAUAUUUUGUGAUGUUUUAUGGAGCUUUUCUUUUUUCUCCCCCUAUUUUUUCACCUUUAUCAUGGGAACUGAGUUUUUCUUUUUUCUUUUUUUUUUGUGCAAAGGUGAAAAUUUCUACGAGCCUAACAUUGAUUGUAAUUUUUGUGGGAGUUACUACUUUGAAGAUAUAAAGGUAUUUGAACCCCCAAAAAAAAAAAAAAGAUUCAAGUGAUGGACAUGGAAUUAUUGGCUGCCAGUAGUUGAAAUCUCAAACUAGUAUAGAGAAAGCAGGGAGAAGAAGACAAAGUAGGGUUUUGAGGUUAAUUUUGGACUUUCACGAAAAUUUCAUGUUGACAUCCUUCACUGUGUAUCAGUCAACGUUAGCAAUAUAACGAUAAGAGUUACUUGUUAUGCAUUAAACAGCCUGAGGGACCUUUUUGUAGUUUGUCCAAGCUUGAGGGUUUGAUUCGUAGUUUGGUUAAAUCUCAAGGGAGGUAAACGUAAUUAACUCUAAUUAUAAUGCUAGUAGGAAAAACUUGGGGGAGACGUUGAUUUGACUCAUUAAUUGGACCGUAAUCGGUGUUUUUUUUUUUGCUAUUUGUCGGUAUUGAAGUAUCAAGAGAAGGAGAGAGAAUACGCUUUGUUCAUGGAAUGAUGAUGCAAGGUUUGAUGCUAUUACGGAGUGUGGGAAUCCACAGCAUGGUGCUCUAUUUUAUUUCAGGAUUAAUUGCAACUUAGAUUCCUAUACUAUAUUGGGGCUAUACUUUUGCACCCUAAAAUUUUUGCAUCUUUUUAAAUUAGAGUUUUUCUAUUUGCAAUAAUGACUUUAAAAUUUGCUAAUUGCAAGUGUGUCUAUGAUAUGCUUCUUGAAAUGGUGAUUUUAUGUCCCUUUACCAACAACCUUUUGGUAAAAUAGUUCACUAUAUUGAUCUUUUACUAGGUCAUAUUCCAUUUUAUUGUUAGAGUUCAUCCAUUAUUUCUAUUUAGCAAGCAACUAAAAUUUGCAUCCUCUAUAUUCUAAAUGUCUUUACUUGGUUUUUGUGGGUUUUUCAUAGAGUGAAUAUAUGCAAAAAGAUAAAAGUAUUUUCUAAAAGAAAACAGUAUGAAGAUGUGGAACUAAAGUAUGGCCAUACUUGAGAAUUGGUUUCCUCUUCGCAAAACUACUGAAAUUUUGCCACAUUGCAUUUAUAACUUUUAACCUCCUUGUUAUUUGCAUUCAUAACUAUCGCUAAGAACCACACUACAUGGUAGGAGGCGUAAAAAAUGGAUGACUUAAGCAGGUUCGGAUAGGUUAUAAUUGAGUAAUGGAUAUAAUUGAAUCAACUCAUCUAUACCGAUUUAAUAAAUGAAUCAAAUGAGUCAACUCAUUUAUAUUCAUUCAAUAAAUGAGUAUGGGUAUAUAACUAAUUACUCAUUUAUGACCCACUUGAAUUUUUACUUGCUCUUUUUUUCUUGUUCUUUUGGAUGUUGUUUCAUAAGAAAUAACAAUAUUUUAUUAUUAUUGGAUUGAUAAGAAAUUCAAAUUUAUCCGUUUAACAUCCACCAAAGCUUGGGAUUAAAUAUCCAAUUAUUUUUAAAUGUAUAUAGAUGGUUUUGAGUCAAUCUAUUACCUACCAAUUAUUUUUAAUUGAGUUUAAUUGAGUCAUAAAUCUAAACCCUUUCAAAAUUCACUGCAUACCCAAAUUCACUUAUUAGUGGGCGAGUUUGGACAAGUCAAUAUUACAACUACUUUGAUACCUAUAGUACAAGGUGUGACUCCAUUAAAGUCACCAUACGGAUUAGCAAAUUUGAAGUUGCUGAUUGAAACAGCGACUUUAAAUGGAUAUUUCAAAUGGCAAAUUUUUUUUUUGGAAGGCUAAAACAUGCUGGACUUGUUUCGAAUUAUCAAUAAAUAGAGGAUUAUAUUGGUAAACGAUCCUUUUCGAAUGCACAGGGAUUGUCAUCAUUAUUGCUCUACUUAAAGAUCCAUUUUUCUUUUUGCCACACCUUUUUGGCUUUUUCUAAUGAUAGAUGUUGUAAGCAUCUUAUCUUUCUGGAUCAUAGCAAUUUUCCAAUACUUUUCAUGAUUAUCUUGGAGCGAAAAGAAGUAAGACGACUAGGAAAGAUGACAUGCGAAUCAUCCUCGUUAUAGAUACGCUAGCUGUUAUGUAAAACAAAGACUUGAUACUCCGUUAAUAACUACACUGAAUACACCAGUAAAUGUAUGAAUUAUAUCAUGUAUUAACUAAGCAAACUAACCAUCAACAAGAUCUCACUAUUUCUGAGAAGGCAAAGGACCUAAGCAAUCUAACCAUCAAAGUCAUUUAUUCUGUACAUAUGUUCAAGUUUUCCAGUUCAAUUGAGAUUCAUUAACAUCGAAGCGGCAUUUGCUCGGCUCAGGCUGCCAAUGUGCACAGUGAUAUGAAAGAAUUUAGGCAUUCCUGGGAACUUUAUGUCCUUAAACAUGCCAUUCUCAGGAUUGUAGGAAACUAGAGCUCCCCAUCUAUACUGCAACAAGAUCUCACCAUUGCUGAGAAGGCAAAGUACGUGAACAUAUCGUUGAUUAAUUACAUUCUUCCAGAUCCUGUAUGUUCGUCGCAUUUCUGGAGACCUAUAUCUCGUCACAUCAUAAGCCCCGAUGCUGAAAACUCUCUCCCAGGACUCUUUCACGCCAUACUCUUUCAUGAUCCAAAUGUCUUGAACCCAAUAAUUUGUAGACGAAGGAUGAACAAUAGACAGACACCCUCCCAGAACACUGAGAGAGUAUCUGUGCCUGAAUAGGUUGACAUCAUUUUCAGGCAAUGGAACUUCACUAAAAAUCUCAUUAGAUAAAUCAAAUGACACGAGAAUUCGGUCAGAUAACAAACCAUGGGUAGUUAGUGAUGUCGAGUGGAGUGUUAUCUUCUCGACUAAUCGGUAUACUCGAGUAUUACCACCAGUGCUUAGUUGGUAUUUGGGCCCGGCAAGGGGGUUGAAUGGUGGACGGAUUGGAGUUAAACGAAAUACUACUGGAUUGGUUACUUUACGUGAAAGUUGACAGAGUGUCAACUGAUACUUGAUCAAGCUCUGGUGAAGCAACGAGAAUUUGGCUCUUGAGAGCCAUCUGUAUCCUUAUAUUUUGAUUGUUAUUCGUAGUGUUAUUGUUUCUUUUAGAAAAAGAAUUUUACACUCGUUCAUUUUGAGAUUGCUACUUGAAGUGUUAUCGCUCACUUUUAUGAACUCUUCAUAUUCGUUACUUUGCUACAUUGGAAACUUGUACGUAUAAAUAAUGGUCAAUUUGCUAUUUGGAACCUCACUGGAUUUUUAGUUCAUUCCACGCUAUUUGUUUUCCUUACAGGGGUACGAAUGAGGCGUGAGACGUGUAUAGACUAGCGUAGUCUAGUUGUUUUGACUUUUGUAAUUGUACUCACACUAGUCGCUCGAUUAGGGUUGAAUGUACUGAGAAUUUAAAUCUUUUGAAGUAUUUGGGACUGUAUGGAUGGUUGAGAUAGAAAUGAAUGUAUACGUGUGUUCCAAACUUGGGAACUAUUAUUUCGUUUAUUUUUUAGAGUGCAUCUUAGUUUAUUUGAUGUGAGUGAGUGAGUCCUGACGAGAGUUGGAUAAGCGGUCCGCUAAACCCUAGGGUACGCUCAGGGGAAGGUGGGGCGUCACACAAAUCCAUUAAAGUAGGAAGAAAGAACCAGAAAAAAAAAACACCCAAAAAAAAGGAAAAAACAGAGAAAAGAAAAGCCCAAAAAGGGAGUCCGAGGAGUAGGAGCAAGGAGCUGCGCUGCUGGUGCUAUUGACGGAGUCCACGAUCACAGCCACCACUACCGUGGGUCAUAACUGGAAAAGCACUAUGAAACUUCGUUGCUCCAUAUGUUGUUUGAAUUUUUCUCUCACCUGUUUGAUAUUAUGUUCAAGAAUUUGGCUUCUUCGCUGUAUCGAUGAAUCUCCCUUCCUUUAAAUUUCCCUUUUGCUUGUUGUCUAUGAUAUGAUUUGUCUAUGGUGGAAUGGGAUUUAGGUGGACUGACAUUCGUUAUUUGUGUAAGCGGCACCUCAAUUAGACCUAGAUUUGUAAAGUUUUGUUGCGCCAAUAAUGGCCCCAAAUGAGAAAUUGAGUUAUAUGGACAAAUUGAUGAAUCUGAGCAUGUGGGGGAGCAAUUCCGAUCAAUUGAAAGUUGAUCGGAGAUCGUGAACGAUGCCGGAAAACCAAGAGGGCCGAGAGAGAACGUUUGAUUUUUUUAAAAAUUAUUUUUAUUUUUAUGUUUUGCUGCAUUUUCUGAGCGGAUCUAGCUAUGUGAUAGUGUGAGAUGUUCGUGUGCAAGAGAGAGAGGAGCCACAGAGUUGUUGUCAUCGGAAGCCGGCGAACUUCAUGAGACGAGAGGAAACAGAGCAGCAACAGUUCUUCUGAAUUGAGGAAGAAGAUGAUGUAUUUCUGGAGAUUUACAAUUUCAGUCCCUAAAUUUCCCUUUCUUUGUGACUUAGCCCCAAUUUUUAGGACUUUAUAAUUUGUCCCCUGGAGCUUGCUUUAGGUAGUUUGGAUUAAGUUCCUAGAAGGGAAAAUCGUUCAAAACGUCCCUCACUUUUAAAAGUGUAAUUUUACGUCCCUUACAAAUUCAUAUUGAUCAAAUUUGGUCCCUACCUAGGUUUUUGACUAGUUUUUGGUCAGAAUUCACCACGUGACUUGCAUGUAAUCAUUUUUUAUAGGCAAAAUUGUCAAAUCAAAUGUUUACAUAAUCUGAUUCAUAGUUCCUAACAUUUUACAAAAUGAAUUUUUUCGUCCCUAACAUUUUACAAAAUGAAUUGUUUCGUUCCUCACAUUUCAAAAAAUGAAUUUUCCAUCCCUCAUAUUUUUCAAAAUGAAUUUUUUCAUCUCUGAUUGAUCAUGUGUAUGAAUAGUUUUUUUCUAUAAACCCACGUAUAUGUCUAUUUGAUUUUAUCUGAACAGUAUGAAUAACAUGUAAUUUAUUUCUAUUGGAUUUCAUCUAAACAUGCUAAUCGUAGUUAUACACAUGCUAUUCAAUAAAUAUAUAUAGGGGUUUAAAACUAAUAAUUUUGUUUGAACUCACGUAUAUAUUUAUAUAAUUUCACCAUUUGAACCUAUUCAAUAUUUGUGACAUUUCUCUUUUGGUAAUAAUUUAUUUAUUGAAUUGUAUAAUAAGGUCAUCUAAUUAAUGAGUCAUAAGUCGAAUUCUAUAAUUGUGCUAAUAAAUUUCAGUUUAAAUAUGAAAUUUCUACUCGACACUUUUAAGACCAAUAAUUAAAUUACUUACCUUGUAAUUGUCUUAAAAUUUGAAAAUGCCAAUCACUUAUUUCUUUUUGUCAUACUUUUCUUUUGUUUAUUUUUUUUGUCCAAAUUUAAUUCGAUAUAACACUCGAUAAUAUUUAGGAUUAAAUGUCUUCCUUAUUUUCAAAUUUCGAGUAAAAGAAAAUGAAUAUAAGUGAAAAACUAAUAAUUUUUUUAAACCCAUGUAUAUAUCUAUUUGAUUUCAUUUGAGCAGUACGAAUAGUAUGUAAUAUAUCUCUAUUUGAUUUCACAUGUUAUUCGUACUGUUCAAGUGAAAUCAAAUAGAUAUAUACAUGAAUUUAAAAUAAAUUAUUCACACACAUGAUCAAUAAAAAAUGAAAAAAUUCAUUUUGAAAAAUGUGAAGGAUGAAAAAAUUCAUUUUGUGAAAUGUAAGGGACGAAAAAAUUUAUUUUAUGAAAUGUGAGGGAUUAUGAAUCGAAUUAUAUAAAAUUUGAUUUGAUAAUUUUGCCCUUAAAAUAUGAUCACGUGCAAGGCACGUGGUGAAUUCCGACAAAAAACUAGUCAAAAACCUAAGUAGGGACCAAAUUUGACCAAUGUGAAUUUGUAAGGGAUAUAAAAUUAUAUUUUUAAAAGUAAGGGAAGAAAAAAGUUAUUUUGUAAAAUGUGAGGGACGUUUUGAACGAUUUUCCCUUCCUAGAAUUGAACUAGUUAACUAUUAGUUUAAAUAGCAUUUCAAUUGGUCAAGUUGUAGUUAAUUUUAUUUUCUCUUUUUAGGAAUAAUGUAACCCUUAACCGGCAUAGGUGCUCGUAAUUUUUGUAUUCUUUUUCUUUUCUUUUCACUUAAUUACUUUUUAUUUUGUUAUUAUUGUGGAAUGAGAUCAUGUGGGCCGCAGGUGCGUUGUCGCUUGGCUUUUCCAAUUCCAAUGGAAGCUUUGGAAUUAAUCAUUCUGUUUUACUUCACUCUUAAGGUGCUGUACAUGUUUUUAUGUGUUUAGAUAUUAGUUAAUUACAUGUUAUGUGCUUAGCUUAAACUUAGUCAUUUUGGCCUUAAAAUUAAGAGAAUAAGAUUAAACUCGCAACCCAUUUUGCCGAACCGUCAAAAAAGGGACCAGAGCAGUGAAUUUGGCCAGAAUUCCUAGAGCUUUGUAUAGUUAUAGAAGAAGAAAAUUAAAAACAAAAGAAGCAUUUUUCAGAAAAAACCCAAAUUCCUCCGUGAAACUAAUGCCACAAUUCUCAAGAAUUAUAGCAAUAAAAUAACAAAAAAAGAUCGAUAGAAUCCUAGACUGGAGAAACCAAUUUUAUCAGAUUUUUUUGGGAAAAAAAUAAAAGAUAUUUAAGAUAAAACCCUAAAUAAGAAUCUCACCAAGGCACUUUGCCAGAGUUGGAGAUGGUUGCCGUCAGAAAUAAUUAUAUUGGUGGUGAUUUUUCAAUCUCUCCAAUCUCCAUCGCUCACUUUCUGUAUCUUUAGCCGCAAAUUCUUUCUUUGUUUUUGUUAGAAUGUGGGAGUAGCGAGCUCUAUUGUAAAGAGCCAUGCAUUUCAAUGAAGGAAAAUAACUUCAGUAACUCAAAGGAGGAAGUUAUUUUCCACCAAGUGAAGUUAUUUUCUUCAGUAACUCAAAAGAGCCGUGCGUUUCAAUGAAGAAAAAUAACUUCAGUAACUCAAAAGAGGAAAUUAUUUUCCACCAAGUGAAGUAAAAUAGUUUCUCCACAGAAAUUUUUUUUUCCAAGUUAAAUGAUUACCAAACACAGGAAAAUUUGGAAAACAUUUUGAGGAAAACAUUUUAUGUCCAAACAAACACACCUGAGUGAUAAGUGAAUAGUUUAUCAUUUAUUUUUGGAAGUAAAUUUUGCCUAAAAAAUUCAAUGUCAUUUAAUUAAUUUAAAUGUUUAAUUUUUGGUUAUGAAACACGUGUGAACAUAUUAAAAUCUGAAACCAUUAAUUUUAAGUGAUAAAUUGGAUUAUUAAACAAGGCCUUAGUCAUAGUGUAGUAUCAAUUCAACGAUUCGUAAGUUUCACUUAUAAGAAUUUAUAAAGACAUGAUUUUUUUUGUGUGUUGGGGAGGGGAGGGGGGAGGGGGGAGGGGGAUGUUAAAGAGGAGACUCCAGAUUUCGCAAAACAGUCUCAAGAUAUGUUCACGUGGGUAAAAAAGAUAACUCAAUUAAAUGGUUGAAAGACAAACUAAACUAUUUGAUACUCGAAUCAAAUUUGGUUUGGUAAGAGUUCAUUUUAACUUGAUUCGCUAAUUAAUCAAACCUACUAAAUAGCAUUUCAUGUUCGAUGAACUUUCAAAUUCGAUUCGAGCUUACUUUGAUUAACUUAAAAUUGGAUUUUUUAGGUAAAAAUUCAAACUAUUCAAACUUGACUCAAUAAAAGCUUGUUUAAAUUCGACUUAAAAAAUAAACAAACCAAAAUUGAACACCAAGGUGUUUGAUUUCAUUAAACUCAUUUACAGCCAUAUGGAUUGAACUUUUAAUAGGUGCAGCAUCAGUCCAAGCCACUCAAGACACUUGUUAACUGAGGUAUGGGUGCAACAUAAAAUUUCUCUUUACCCUCUAAAAUUACUUUCUUUUAGUGUAUUCUAUUUCUACCCUCUCCAACCCCACACCCCCCCCUUCCCCCAUCCCCCAAACACAAAUUUAAAAUUGCAGUUUAUCUUUUGUAUUUCUCAUAUUCAAAACUCCUCAACGCGGUAAUGGAUUCUGAUCUUGAAUUCAGCAAUAUGUAUCGAUCAUUCCAAUCAAUACCCCGGUCGAUUCAUCACCAUUUACGACAACAAAAAAGAUAUUGAGAAUCUUACUUCAAAACCUAUGACAAAAAUCAAAAUAUGCCAUUUCAAACUAUGGUAUCUAUAUUGGUAGCUAGGAAGAGAAUUACACCAUCGCAACAGACAAUAGCCAGGGAGGGAGAGUAAGGUAUAUCGGUGUGGAGAAGAUGUCCAGAUGAGAAUCACAACCAACAAUAACCUUACCACUUUGGUGACAAACCAUUUGAUGAAUUAACUACAUAAUUGAACACUUCAAUCAAGCGAAUCAUAAAGGUCCUUCCUACUGUCAAUAUCUUAAAUUCUGCUAUUAUAUUUGAUCCCCGGAGACCAGAAGGCCAUUAAUUUGCUUGGCUCAGGCUUCCAACGUGUACAACGGUAUGGAAGAAUUUAGGCAUCCCUUUAAACCUUAGAUCCUUAAACAUUCGACUCUCAGGAUUGUAAGAAACUAGGGCUCCCCAUCUGUACUGCAGCAAAAUUUCGCCAUUUUUCAGAAGGCAAAGAACCCGGGCAAAUCGUUCAUCAAGUACAUUCUUCCAAAUCCUGUAUUUUUGCUGCAUUUCUGGUGACUGAAAUGUCGUCACAUAAUAAACCCCAACGCUGAAAACUUUCUCCCAGGACUCUUUCACCCCGUAUUGUUUCAUAAUCCAAAUGUCUUGAGCCCCGUAAUUAGUAUUUGAAGGAUCAACAACAGACAGAAAACCUCCGAGAACACUGAGAGAAUACCGGUGUCGGAUUAAGUAAAGAUGAUUUUCUGGCAGUGGGACUUCUCUAAAAAGCUCAUCAGAUAAAUCAAAUGACACCAGAUCCGUUCCCGACGAGCAUGAUUCUUUCCCCAUAUACUCACCCAGUGAAGCCUUCCGUUUACAAAAACUCCCCCUGAUGACUGAUCUAGCUUGUAAGGUAUGUCUCCAAUAAUAACUCUCCAUUUUUCACUGCUCUGAUAGAAUACUUGAACCUCUGAUCUUGGAAAAUUUUGAGCCCUGAAUCUCAGCGAUCUGAGUGGAGAUAAUUCAUAUAAAUUCCAGUAGUAGACUAUCCUUACUACGCGAUAUUCAUUGGUAUGAGGAUGAACUCCGAAUCCUAUUAUCACUUCUUGGUCCUGGAAUUCAGUGGAUUUUGGUAACACUUUAUAGUCUCGGGUGAAGGGAUUAUAAACGUAUGGUCCAUCAUUGACCAAAGUACUCGACAAGCAUAGCAGGCCAUUACACGAGCUAACAAUUCGAAAUUCAGGCAAAGUACUAGAAAAGGGAGUAUGAAUUCUUCUGAGUACAUUUUUUUCAUGAUCUUGAUGAGAAAAUUCAACAAAAUAAAGCUGAUUGUUCAAUGGAAAAUCACAAUGAAAGAUGAGGGCUAUGUCGUUGUUUUUUAAUGCUCUGGUGAGAUGCAAAUUAGCAAGAUCUGAUCAAGUGACAACUUGUGGCAACUUCGACAAACAUACCUGAAUUGGAUGACGGAUUUUACGUGUAGUCUGGAAAUUAUGUCGAGGGCGAUUUCUUGAGGUAGACUAUAAAGAUUAUUUCCAGGCUGAUGAUGUUCUUUUGGAGUUGAUUUUCUUCUCUUGGAUUCUCUCUCAAUUUCCAUGUCUUCCAUGAUGGUAGUAGAAAAUGUGAACGUUUCAAGGUUUGAGGUGGCGGCUAGACUGCUUUAGGCUUGGACUUAAUUAUAAGGUUUAAUUGCACUUACUUCCCUCGAGCUUUGUCCAUAUUACCAAACAACCUUGUAGUUUGUCCAAAUAACAUUUACCCCCUUGUCAUUGACGGUUCAUAAACUCUGUUAACUGAUGUCACAAGAUGAUAAAAUUGCCCUUCAAAACAAAAACAAGAUUAUUGUUAUAAAAGAACUUAAUAUUUAGGCAUAAAAAAAAUGUCCAAAGGAGAAAUGAAGUAUCUUAGUAAGCAAAGCUAAAGAAAAGAAAGAUAGUAACAUUAAGAGUAAAAAAUUUGCUGCAAAAAAAAAAAGAAAAUGAAGAAAAAUACAUGUUGAGAGAUAUCAAACAGACAAAGAGUAACUAUGAAAAAAAAAGAAAGUAAAAUAUAAAUAAAUUAGCGACUGCCUAUUUAAUAAAUAAAAAAAAGAUAAUUGAGAGGGAUACUGAAGCAUCGAUCUUCUUUUCCUUUAUCACUCUCUCCGCUAGCUCCCAACACAAUUUGCCUCCAUCUCUUUACCUCAACAGACACCCCCUUCUUCAUCUUCUCUGCUACUACACAUGCACACUAAGAGAUUAGCAGUUUGCACUCUCAAAUGCACCUUUUGAAGAAAAGAUUGUAUUCCAGUAGCAUCUAGCGAGAGAUUAAGGAUUGGAAAGGCCAAAAUAGGAGAAAGUAAUUGUAAUUUAUGGACUCUAUCUUGGUGUUGGCAUAACGAGGUUCUAGAUCAGUUUGAGACCUUAUGACGAUAAGUUUAUGCUUUCAGUUAUUGAUUUGAGUUUGUUGGUGGUUAAAUGUAAGGCUAUAAGUUAUGCAUAUUUUGUGAUGUUUUAUGGAGCUUUUCUUUUUUCUCCCCCUAUUUUUUCACCUUAUCAUGGAACUGAGUUUUUCUUUUUUCUUUUUUUUUGUGCAAAGGUGAAAAUUUCUACGAGUCUAACAUUGAUUGUAAUUUUGUGGGAGUUACUACUUUGAAGAAAUAAAGGUAUUUGAACCCCCAAAAAAAAAAAGAUUCAAGUGAUGGACAUGGAAUUAUUGGCUGCCAGUAGUUGAAAUCUCAAACUAGUAUAGAGAAAGCAGGGAGAAGAAGACAAAGUAGGGUUUUGAGGUUAAUUUUGGACUUUCACGAAAAUUUCAUGUUGACAUCCUUCACUGUGUAUCAGUCAACGUUAGCAAUAUAACGAUAAGAGUUACUUGUUAUGCAUUACAGCCUGAGGGACCUUUUUGUAGUUUGUCCAAGCUUGAGGGUUGAUUCGUAGUUUGGUUAAAUCUCAAUUGAGGUGAACAUAAUUAACUCUAAUUAUAAUGCUAGUAGGAAAAACUUGGGGGAGACGUUGAUUUGACUCAUUAAUUGGACCGUAAUCGGUGUUUUUUUUUUUGCUAUUUGUCGGUAUUGAAGUAUCAAGAGAAGGAGAGAGAAUGCUUUGUUCAUGAAUGAUGAUGCGAGGUUUGAUGCUAUUACGGAGUGUGGGAAUCCACAGAUGGUGCUCUAUUUUACUUUAAGAUUAAUUGCAACUUAGAUUCCUAACUAUAUUGGGCUAUACUUUUGCACCCUAAAAUUUUUGCAUCUUUUAAAUUAGAGUUUUUCUAUUUGCAAUAAUGACUUUAAAAUUUGCUAAUUGCAAGUGUGUCUAUGAUAUGCUUCUUGAAAUGGUGAUUUUAUGUCCCUUUACCAACAACCUUUUGGUAAAAUAGUUCACUAUAUUGAUCUUUACUAGGUCAUAUUCCAUUUUAUUGUUAGAGUUCAUCCAUUAUUUCUAUUUAGCAAGCAACUAAAAUUUGCAUCCUCUAUAUUCUAAAUGUCUUUACUUGGUUUUUGUGGGUUUCAUAGAGUGAAUAUAUGCAAAAAGAUAAAAGUAUUUUCUAAAAGAAAACACUAUGAAGAUGUGGAACUAAAGUAUGGCCAUACUUGAGAAUUGGUUUCCUCUUCGCAAAACUACUGAAAUUUUGCCACAUUGCAUUUAUAAAUUUUAACCUCCUUGUUAUUUGCAUCAUAACUAUCGCUAAGAACCACACUACAUGGUAGGAGGCGUAAAAAAUGAUGACUUAAGCAGGUUCGGAUAGGUUAUAAUUGAGUAAUGGAUAUAAUUGAAUCAACUCAUCUAUACCGAUUUAAUAAAUGAAUCAAAUGAGUCAACUCAUUUAUAUUCAUUCAAUAAAUGAGUAUGGUAUAUAACUAAUUACUCAUUUAUGACCACUUGAAUUUUUACUUGCUCUUUUUUCUUGUUCUUUUGGAUGUUGUUUCAUAAGAAAUAACAAUAUUUUAUUAUUAUUGGAUUGAUAAGAAAUUCAAAUUUAUCCGUUUAACAUCCACCAAAGCUUGGGAUUAAAUAUCCAAUUAUUUUUAAAUGUAUAUAGAUGGUUUUGAGUCAAUCUAUUACCUACCAAUUAUUUUUUAAUUGAGUUUAAUUGAGUCAUAAAUCUAAACCCUUUCAAAAUUCACUGCAUACCCAAAUUCACUUAUUAGUGGGCGAGUUUGGACAAGUCAAUAUUACAACUACUUUGAUACCUAUAGUACAAGGUGUGACUCCAUUAAAAGUCACCAUACGGAUUAGCAAAUUUGAAGUUGCUGAUUGAAACAGCGACUUUAAAUGGAUAUUUCAAAUGGCAAUUUUUUUUUUGGAAGGCUAAAACAUGCUGGACUUGUUUCGAAUUAUCAAUAAAUAGAGGAUUAUAUUGGUAAACGAUCCUUUUCGAAUGCACAGGGAUUGUCAUCAUUAUUGCUCUACUUAAAGAUCCAUUUUUCUUUUUGCCACACCUUUUUGGCUUUUUCUAAUGAUAGAUGUUGUAAGCAUCUUAUCUUUCUGGAUCAUAGCAAUUUUCCAAUACUUUCAUGAUUAUCUUGGAGCGAAAGAAGUAAGACGACUAGGAAAGAUGACAUGCGAAUCAUCCUCGUUAUAGAUACGCUAGCUUAUGUAAAACAAAGACUUGAUACUCCGUUAAUAACUACACUGAAUACACCAGUAAAUGUAUGAAUUAUAUCAUGUAUUAACUAAGCAAACUAACCAUCAACAAGAUCUCACUAUUUCUGAGAAGGCAAAGGACCUAAGCAAUCUAACCAUCAAAGUCAUUUAUUCUGUACAUAUGUUCAAGUUUUCCAGUUCAAUUGAGAUUCAUUAACAUCGAAGCGGCAUUUGCUCGGCUCAGGCUGCCAAUGUGCACAGUGAUAUGAAAGAAUUUAGGCAUUCCUGGGAACUUUAUGUCCUUAAACAUGCCAUUCUCAGGAUUGUAGGAAACUAGAGCUCCCCAUCUAUACUGCAACAAGAUCUCACCAUUGCUGAGAAGGCAAAGUACGUGAACAUAUCGUUGAUUAAUUACAUUCUUCCAGAUCCUGUAUGUUCGUCGCAUUUCUGGAGACCUAUAUCUCGUCACAUCAUAAGCCCCGAUGCUGAAAACUCUCUCCCAGGACUCUUUCACGCCAUACUCUUUCAUGAUCCAAAUGUCUUGAACCCAAUAAUUUGUAGACGAAGGAUGAACAAUAGACAGACACCCUCCCAGAACACUGAGAGAGUAUCUGUGCCUGAAUAGGUUGACAUCAUUUUCAGGCAAUGGAACUUCACUAAAAAUCUCAUUAGAUAAAUCAAAUGACACGAGAAUUCGGUCACGUCGACAGUGAUUCUUGCCCCAUAGACUUACCCAAUGAAGCUUUCCAUUGACA
rnacentral:lncRNA from 1 species